rnacentral:rRNA from 1 species
UCCGGUUGAUCCUGCCGGCGGACACCGCUAUUGGAGUUCGAUUAAGCCAUGCGAGUCGAGAGGUGUAAGACCUCGGCGUACGGCUCAGUAACACGUGGAUAAUCUACCGUUAGAAAGGGGAUAACCUCGGGAAACUGAGAAUAAUACCCUAUAGAUGUUUCUUGCUGGAAUGCUGAAACAUUGAAACCCCGCAAGGGGGUCUAACGAUGAGUCUACGGCUUAUCAGGCUGUAGGUGAUGUAAUGGAUCACCUAACCUAAGACGAGUACGGGCUUUGGGAGAAGUAGCCCGGAGAUGGAUUCUGAGACACGAAUCCAGGUCCUACGGGGCGCAGCAGGCGCGAAACCUUCACAAUGUGGGAAACCACGAUGGGGGAACUCCAAGUGUUAACGCUAUGCGUUAACUGUUCUUAUGCCUAAAAAGCAUGAGGAGAAAGGGCCGGGUAAGACGGGUGCCAGCCGCCGCGGUAAUACCCGCGGCCCGAGUGGUGUUCGUUAUUAUUGAGCCUAAAACGUUCGUAGUCGGAUCGGUAAAUUCCUGGGUAAAUGGAAAAGCUUAACUUUUCUAAUUCCGGGAAGACUGUCGAUCUUGGGAUUGGGAGAGGUGAAAUGUACUUCUGGGGUAGGGGUAAAAUCUUGUAAUCCCAGAAGGACAACCAGUGGCGAAGGCGUUUCACUAGAACAAAUCCGACGAUGAGGAACUAAGCCCUAGGGCGCAAACGGGAUUAGAUACCCCGGUAGUCUAGGGUGUAAACGCUGCAGACUUGGUGUUAGUUCUCUUUUGGGGAGAACUAGUGCCGGAGAGAAGUUGUUAAGUCUGCUGCUUGGGGAGUACGGUCGCAAGACUGAAACUUAAAGGAAUUGGCGGGGGAGCACCGCAACGGGAGUAGUGUGCGGUUCAAUUGGAUUCAACGCCGGAAAACUCACCAGAAGCGACCAAUGUAUGAAGGCCAAGCUGAUGACUUUGCUAGACAUUGGAGAGGUGGUGCAUGGCCGUCGCCAGUUUGUACCGUAGGGCGUUCUGUUAAGUCAGAUAACAAACGAGACCCUCGCCCUUUAUUGCUAACCACUUAAAGAGUGGCGCACCUUAAGGGGACCGCUAGCGCAAAGCUAGAGGAAGGGGAGGUCUACGGUAGGUCAGUAUGCCCCGAAUCUUCUGGGCAACACGCGCACUACAAAGGUUGGGACAAUGAGGUUCUACCUCGAAAGAGGGAGGAAAUCCUAAAACCCAAUCGUGGUAUGGAUUGAGGGCUGUAAUUCGCCCUCAUGAAACUGGAUUCCGUAGUAAUCCCGAAUCAACAUUUCGGGGUGAAUGUGCCCCUGCUCCUUGCACACACCGCCCGUCAAGCCAUCCGAAUUGGGCUUGAGUGAGGGAUAGCUUAUGUGGCUGUCUCGAACUUUAGUUCAGUAAGGGGGGCUAAGUCGUAACAAGGUAUCUGUA